UACGUAGGGGGCGAGCGUUGUCCGGAAUUAUUGGGCGUAAAGGGUUCGUAGGCGGUAAUACAUGUCAGAUGUGAAAUCUUGUGGCUUAACCACAUCAAGCAUCUGAAACUGUAUAACUUGAGUGGAGGAGAGGUAAGUGGAAUUCCUAGUGUAGCGGUGAAAUGCGUAGAUAUUAGGAAGAAUACCAGUAGCGAAGGCGACUUACUGGCCUCUAACUGACGCUGAUGAACGAAAGCGUGGGUAGCAAACAGGAUUAGAUACCCGCGUA
rnacentral:rRNA from 1 species